rnacentral:rRNA from 1 species
UACGGGGGGGGCAAGCGUUGUUCGGAAUUACUGGGCGUAAAGGGCUCGUAGGCGGCCAACUAAGUCAGACGUGAAAUCCCCAGGCUCAACCUGGGAACUGCGUCUGAUACUGGAUGGCUUGAAUCCGGGAGAGGGAUGCAGAAUUCCAGGUGUAGCGGUGAAAUGCGUAGAUAUCCGAAAGAACACCGGUGGCGAAGGCGACUCGCUGGGCUCUUGCUGACACUGAAUCACGACAGCGUGGGGAGCAAACAGG